UCGGACGUGGUGUACGGUACACGCCCUCUUUAAUUGCGGUCGAACACAUUGGCUACUAGAGGAAGUACGGGGUUCGAUUCCCCGCGUCCGGC